rnacentral:rRNA from 1 species
AUGCGAUACGUAAUGUGAAUUGCAGAAUUCAGUGAAUCAUCGAAUCUUUGAACGCACCUUGCGCCCCUUGGCAUUCCGAGGGGCACACCCGUUUGAGUGUCGUGAACACCCUCAACCUGCUUUGGUUUUCUCCGAACCCAAGUAGGCUUGGAAUUUGGAGGUUUUCUGCUGGCCUCCUUCGAAGCCAGCUCCUCUCAAAUGUAUUAGUGGGAUCCGCUUUGCUAGAUCCUCGACGUUGAUAAGAUGUUUUCUACGUCUUGGGUUUUGCUCAGGAAUGACCUGCUUCUAACAGUCCCAUCAGGGACGACGUUCGAGAGCCGAUCGCCCUGUGAAAGGGGGUGGGAAGCUUUUCGACCUUUCAUGCCUUGACCUCAAAUCGGGUGAGACUACCCGCUGAACUUAA